rfam:Stegodyphus mimosarum contig86533, whole genome shotgun sequence.
GCCUUCGUGGUGUAAUGGUCAGCACGCUGAGCUGGUAUUUCAGAGGUCCGUGGUUCGAUUCCCGGCGAAGGAA